UGCCGGGAAACCACUCCCUCCCUCGUGCUCUGCUCCUCGCUGACUGCGUUGUGAGUCACUACGGUCAGACCUGGAAUCUCUUAUCCUGGACCUGGAGGAGCCUCGGAGUCAUUUGGGUUGGAAAGCAGCUCUCUUUAACCAGCAGAUCUGAUGGCAGCCAGGCCAUGCCGAAGAGCAUGCCAAAGAGUGUCAACCAGGAACGUGUCUUCUUUCUGAAAUACGUCGUGGAUCAGCAGGCAGGCCCCUCAAGACCCCAGCGACGCAGCUUACACGGAGCCGAGCACACAGUAACCCAGAAACAUAUGUGGUUUCCAUGGCACUACUCUAUGUUGGUUCUCCACAACAUGCUUUUGUCUGCUCAGCAUCUCUUCUCCUCACCUUGGGAACUGCCCCACCUCCCUGAAUAGAGUGGACAUAUGACCCAGAUCCAGGUUGCUGUCACAACUGAGCUGUAACACACUUUGCUGCAACAAGAUAUGGGAAGGAUUGGCUUCAGGGUCUAUCUCAUCAUGUGGAAACAUACACGCCCUACCUCCCUCAUCCUUCAGGAUUCGCAACAGACAUCGCCCCUGAGCCUUCUCAGGCGCCCGCCUCCCCAAGCUGAGCUGAGUACACGUUUUUUUUCCUUAUCUAGUUUUUCAUCAUUUGUUUAUCAUGUUUUUUAACAUUUAUUUAUUUAUUUAACAUUGUCUUUUGGGGGAAGGUAAUUAGGUUUCUUUUAAUUUUAUUUUUUUAACGGAGGUAUUAGGGAUUGAACCCAGGACUUCAUGCAUGCUAAGCCUGCGCUCUACCACUGAGCUAUACCCUCCCCACCUUGAGUGCGUCUUCUUUGCUCUCUCCCAGCUCUCAUGCUGAAGUUAACUUGAGUUUACCCAUUUGCAUGCCUGUCCACUCACUACAAUGCAAGCUCCCAGGAGCAGAGCCCAUGUUUCAUUCAUCCCUGUGUCUUUGGCUCCUGCGCAAAGUACUUGGUGAACUGAACUAGAAGGUGUUUUACAUUCGCAUUACCUAUCAGUGAAAGUUUGCAACAGGCCUGGAGAUAAAUAUCAUUAUUACCACUUUAUGAACUAGGAAACUGAAUCUCAGAGAAUUUGCCCAAAGCCAUACAGCUGAUGAGGAGAAGACUAAACAUAAAUCCAGGUCUGCUGACCUUGAAGUUUUGGAAACUAGGACCACAAAACCUUGUGUUUUUAACUGAAUUAAGCUUUUGUAUUAGUUAGAAAACACAUAAUAGUACAAAAGUU